rnacentral:rRNA from 1 species
UACGGAGGGGGCUAGCGUUGUUCGGAAUUACUGGGCGUAAAGCGCACGUAGGCGGCUUUGUAAGUUAGAGGUGAAAGCCCGGAGCUCAACUCCGGAAUUGCCUUUAAGACUGCAUCGCUCGAAUCAUGGAGAGGUGAGUGGAAUUCCGAGUGUAGAGGUGAAAUUCGUAGAUAUUCGGAAGAACACCAGUGGCGAAGGCGACUCACUGGCCCGGUACUGACGCUGAGGUGCGAAAGCGUGGGGAGCGAACAGG